AGUGAACGCUGGCGGUAGGCCUAACACAUGCAAGUCGAACGGCAGCACAGUAAGAGCUUGCUCUUACGGGUGGCGAGUGGCGGACGAGUGAGGAAUACAUCGGAAUCUACUUUUUCGUGGGGGAUAACGUAGGGAAACUUACGCUAAUACCGCAUACGACCUACGGGUGAAAGCAGGGGAUCUUCGGACCUUGCGCGAUUGAAUGAGCCGAUGUCGGAUUAGCUAGUUGGCGGGGUAAAGGCCCACCAAGGCGACGAUCCGUAGCUGGUCUGAGAGGAUGAUCAGCCACACUGGAACUGAGACACGGUCCAGACUCCUACGGGAGGCAGCAGUGGGGAAUAUUGGACAAUGGGCGCAAGCCUGAUCCACCCAUACCGCGUGGGUGAAGAAGGCCUUCGGGUUGUAAAGCCCUUUUGUUGGGAAAGAAAAGCAGCAGGUUAAUACCCCGCUGUUCUGACGGUACCCAAAGAAUAAGCACCGGCUAACUUCGUG
rnacentral:rRNA from 1 species